GUCUUUUUCACCUAAGAUGAUCCGUAUGACGUUUCGAGUUUGAAAGAUUUAGAGAUGUCACAUAACUAAACCAUAGCGAUUUAUCUAUCGAUUUUUUUCGAAGAAUUAGUAAAACCUACUUUUAGAGAAAUAUUUUGUAUAGGUGUUAUUUAACAAAAAACAUGUUUUUUUUAAUUACAAAUAUUAUUGUAACAAUUUUUUAUUGAUAAUAUUCAAAUUUCAUGGUUCGUGUUCGAAAAAACGAUUCCUAAAAAGUACUGGUUCUGUUUCUUUAAAUUAAAAACUAUUAAUUUAUUUUUAAUGCGUUUAUUAAAGUCAAUAAUCGAAAAAUAUAGUUGAUUUUUGUGAUGUUUUUAAUAACUAAGUAUUCACUUCAAUCGAUUAAUGAACCGCGGAAAUAAUCGAUUUUAUUAUACAAGAAAUACCCCAGCACUAAAUCUAUUCCGUUUCACACAUUGCGUACAUUAAACUCAGAAUACGGAACAAACCAGAAACCGUCAACGGGCGUAAAUGUGUAUUCAUAUAAAGUACUCCAAAUCGCACUACUUUGACUUUAGAGCAAUCAGUCAAUGGCCGGCGCGCGCAUUGUUUACAUAUCCGUCAGAUUGACACUUUAUAAUUAAAUUAUGCCGUCUUGUGCCGUUCCAACAUGUAAGAAUGCUACUGGAAUUACGAAGAAAGUGCAUGGGAUCAUGUUUUAUCCGAUACACAGCCAGAGUUGCCUCGCAAUCAAAUUUAAGUAUUGGUGAUGUUUUUGAUUUGGAUUCUGUUUUUGACUCCAAGAAAAGUUAAACUAAAAGCACUACUGCGCCGUAAACAAAUGUUUUGUUGUCGAUAUGUUUACAUAAUAAAGAACCUUAAGUUUC